CUUCCCUGCUCCUGCUGGGCCAGGUGGAGUCUGGCUCUCCGGACCCCUCCGUGACCCGGGGCGGCUCUGGUGCUUCCUCGUCGUCUCGGAGGAAGGUGAGCCGGAGGGACGGGGCGCAGGCUGGGCAAGAAGGGCCCCCAGGGGAGGCGCACUUCUCCCGGGACACGCUCCAGGGAGCCCGAGGGGGACGGAGACGCCGUCAGAGGCAGCGCGCCAGUUCCAGGGGCGCCUCCUCGACCGGGGGAGAGUGGGCUGUUUUGGCCAGGACACCUGCGAUCGGCAUCGCCCCCCUCCCAGAGACCAUGGACAAGGCACUCAAAGGGGCUUGGGGGCCCCUUUGGCUCUCUUCGCCCCCCCCCCCCCGUGUUGUAACGGCCCCCACCAACGGCUGGAAUCUUCCCCAUUCUAAAGCGCUGCUUUGGUGCCUUCCUUGCAACUGCAGAUUUUGGGGUUCAUGGGAAUAAUAAUAAUAAUAGAAUAGGACAUUUCUAUUUUCAUGGGAGAAAUAUUGGAUGGUAUGGGACAGGUAUAGGAGAUCGCUAGUGCUCAGUAAGUGCAGGAACAACUACAGCUGGAAUCCAAAGGAAUAGGCACAUUUUGCAUAUUUAUAAAAAGUGGAACAUGGAAUAAAAGUCAUAUGAGUAAACUUAGUCGUGUCACUUAAGAGGAGCAGGGCUGGUGGCUACUGGUUUUCUCAGGGCCCAGGUUGCCGCACCGCCAGGUUCAUUGUGACACCUGCCUCUGCUGGGUCAUUGGUCGCCAGAGCUCUAGAAGGUCUGGGGAUCUCCUAUGCUUGGAUCAUUCCGUGAUUGAGAGAGAAGCGAGAAGCCAUGCUGUCCAGACUCAGAAAAGUGUUUUCCUGAUUGGGAAGAAAGAACAGAAUUUCCCCUCUCCCAGAGACCUCCCCUUGCCCACCCCUUCACCCUCGGCAUCCCCCUCUGGACGCCUCUUUGAGAGGACACAAAAGAUGGCAGAAGAACUCCUUCAUUGGAGGAACUCAAGAAAAACCCAGGACAACAUGAAGAAGAUCUAAUCGUAGAAGACCUUGAGGAAGAGCAGGAAGAGAAUGUGAGCAGUGGCUCUUACUCCUAGGCUUUGUAGACCUCCUGCCAUCCUGAUCUGGAGGAAGAAACACCCAGGACGAUAUGAAGGGAGCACAUUGGCCCAACUGCAGCAUGCUAUGGGAUACAGCACUCAUGGUAAGGCAACCUUCUGAGAAACAGCUUUUCGGUGAGCAGUGCAUGCUGUUGUGAACUUCACCUUACAGCUUGGACUGUCCUGGGGGGGAAAGCAUAUAAAAACAAAACAAGAUCCUGCCCCCUAACAUAAAUCCUGGCUCUCCCCAUGAGCAGGAGGUCUGAAGGGUGCAAGAUAUUAAGGAGGAACACUGCAUCAGUUCAAACUAUUAUUCAUUCCAUGAAAUGGUCUUCUAACUUCAGCGAGUCUAACAGGACUGCAACUCAGAUAAAUGAGUGGUUUCCCACAAGCAGUGGAGGUAAAGUGACAAUGCAGUACUUUAGCCCCAGAACUUUGAGAUGUAAACUAAACAGACUGCAGGACACCUUCUUUCUGGAACCCAGGUUGAUAAGAAGCACAUGGGGAGACAUUGCAAGAAAAGGGAGCAGCUGCUGUCACGGUAGGAACAAGAGAAGCUGCCUUCUACUGAGUCAGACCAUUGGUCCAUCUAGCUCAGUAUUGUCUGCAGUGGUCAGCAGCCCCUUUCCAUGGUUUUAGGCAAGAUUCUCUCCCACCUGGAGAUGUCAGGGGCUGAACCUGGGAGCUUCUGAAUGCAAGCAG